CAGUUUAUUUUGACACAUAAUACAGAAGUCGAUCUACGUGUUCCUCGAUGUGACGAUAACAAGUCGACUUAUGCUCAAAUAACACAAGUUUAUCCGAUUUCAUGGUUCGAUAUACGAAGUAAAUCGUUUGACCUAUCGAAUAUCUAAUAAGGAUAAAAUUAUUAGAAAUUUCUUUCUUCGUUAUAUAUUUUAUAAGAAACUAUUUCUUCAUUUCUCAAAUCUUUGAAGCUAUAUGUGUAUGUAUGUAUGUAUGUAUGUAUGUAUGUAUGUAUAUCAUAUAUUUAUCUACGUCGAUAAGGUCACAGAGAGGUCGUGUUUCUCAAAAAAUAUACAUCUACCUGCAAGUAUACUGGAUAUGUAAUAGCACGAUUCAACUUGAUAUCCACGAUAUCGAUUUCGUAGCGAGAAAAUGGAUGUUUACCUUCUCGAAUAUAACCAAGGUUAUACGAUCUUGUUCCAAGUCCUUGUUGUUGUUCUCGUUUUUGUUAUUAUUAUCAUUAUCGUUUGUUAUUAAGUCCAGAGGAAAUAUAAAAGUUGGUAGAUAGAACGCGGCAAAUGACGAGCUAUCGAGAACAAGGAUGUGAAGUGCCUACGGGCAAUGGUGGGUUCUCAGUUUACUGUGCAGAAGGAGCAUCGUUGAGAACUUCAAUUCCCGAGGGGGCUCCCGAGGGACCUUUCCACCAUUCUUCUAGAUGGCUAUUCAGAAAUUCCUAUGGCACGGAAAUAACACAAGGGAGCUCCUUUACCAAAUCUAUUAAUCUUAGUCACCACCAAAGACAAAGGGUGUGUCGCUACGAAUUAUCUGCGGUCUGAAACUAAUUCGAAUCAAUUACCGAGAGGUUGUCCCAGAAAGCGAUGACCGAUAAAAGUACGAAGAGCUUUUCAAAGAACUUCGAUUUAUUCGAUGAUGAUGUCACGGACUACGUAUACCAGCCAUUCGAACUGCGUAACGAAGGUGCUCGUUAAAUAAUUAGGGCGACAGCGACUCUCGAAAGAGUCGUGCUUUUGAAUUACUUGUCGUGGUAACAUGAUCUGCAACUAGCGAGAAAGAACACGCGAAUAGUGUGAGAAAAUAAAGGAAAAAAAGAAGAAGGAGGAGGAGAGAAAAAAAGAAAAAAAAAGAAAUGAUAGAGAAAGAAAAGAAAAGACACGCAUAAACGCCAGUUCGUCGAGCUCUAUGUGACGUGUUCCCAUUUAUUUCUACGCCACUGCAGUUUCUCUUUGAAUGAUAUAAAAAAAGGCUGAAUCGUGAAGCUCGAGAAAUCGUCUCAUAAACGCGAACUAUAUAUCUAUAGUAUCUAUGUAUCUAUUGCAUAUAUCUAUACUGCACAAAGCAUAUACACAAAUAUAUAUAUUCAUAUUCCUUUUAUUUUACUUUAAAGAUCGUUUAGUCAAGAAUUCCUCGAUUUAUUCAUUUUAUUAAUAAAGAUAAAAUAAAUCAUAAGUAGAUAAGCUUAAAGAAUCAUAUAAAUUAAUUAAAAUAAAAUAAAUUCUAAUUAUUUGAUAAAAAUUUUAAGAAUACGAAGAAAAAAGAUAAAGUAAUAUUAGAUUGUUGUUGGAGAAGAAUAACAAAGUUAACAAAAGAAAGAUAAGAUUUAGCAAUCAUGGUAUUUUCUUUUAGCAAGGCUGCGGUAAAUUUCCGCACUUUGAACGCGUUUAUUCCGUUUAACUCACGAAGUGAUAUUACAAGGGAACAAGUCCAGUACGGAGUCGAGUACAAGCCAGCGAGCAUGUCGGCCAAAGAGUGGAGUGCCGUUGCUAACUUGAUUUUUCUCAGAAAGACGCUUUCACGAGAGAACUGUAGGGAAAGGGAACGACGUUUGGAUAUCGCUGAAAGAGGCUGCUGUGAUGGUCUUCGUGAAGCUUCGAAGAGGAUGGGCAACCAAUUUUUACUCCUUAAUGACGACCAUUAAAUAACAUAAUGACAACUAUAAUGUACAUUAAACGAAGGGAACCGGAAAACAAUUAUCCAAGAGAAUUCAACAACGUGCCAUAUAAAGUCGUUUCUUAUUACAUUAUGGAAAAUAAAACGAUAUAGCAGGAUGACAUCAAAUAGUCUGCAUGUAAAAAGUCAAAGCAAGCCAUCCAACAAAAUACAUAACGAUCACAACCAAAGGAAAUACAAGAAAAGAAACACAGGAUAAGAAGAAUAUUUUCAUCAAAAAACUAUUAUGAUUAAGAACUAUAAUGAAAAAGAUUCCAUUAUAAUCUACUGCAUUCUAUUAUAUUUCAAUCAUAGAAAAAUUGUAAAAUUGUAAAAAAAAAUGUAAAAUAAAAAUAAAAAAAAUAAAUGAUAAUAAAAAGUAUUAAAGAAUCACAAAAUAAAAUGUGUUGUUAAUCAAAUCCUACAAUAAAAAGACAAAAAAUAGCAGGUAAGUAAAAACCCUUCACCAAAUGAUGAAUCAUGCAUAACACCAAAAUGCAAUCAGCAAAUGAAGGUAGGUAUGAGAAUAACAAAAAGGGCAAACAAAGUAACAUGGC